GGGGUUGUGGUUCAGUGGUAGAGCACUUGCCUAGCAUGUGUGAGGCCCUGGGUUCAAUUCUCAGCACCCUA
rnacentral:tRNA from 1 species